CCCACACUGCCUGUGGACUCAGCAGCUGUGCAUCUCUCCGUCCCUCCCACACACACACAUUCACACACACAUACACACACACUGGAUCUUCAUCUGUGAAGGCGAAGUCUUUCGCAAUGAAUCCAUGGCAGCUUCGAUCGAGCGGUGAGCUGGAGCACCUACAUACAGGCCACUCCUUGAUGUGACUGAAAAGAGGCCUUUUCCAGCACUCUGAAAGGAGAGUGGGGCUGUGGAUUUACCUCCCACACACCUGGGCACCCAGAGUACAUGCACUGCGAGAUUCCAGUGACAGAUGGAUCUCUCUUGUGCACACGUGCUCUUUCCCUCUCUGUAUUUUUGUUUUCAACAUGUUUGAUCUGAAGUUCUGAAGCUUCUCAGAGGGAACCCGGGAGAGAAGGAAGAGGAGGAGGAGGAGGAGGAGGAGGAGGAGGAGGAGGA
rnacentral:lncRNA from 1 species